rnacentral:rRNA from 1 species
UACGGGAGGCAGCAGUGGGGAAUAUUGCACAAUGGGCGCAAGCCUGAUGCAGCCAUGCCGCGUGUAUGAAGAAGGCCUUCGGGUUGUAAAGUACUUUCAGUCGUGAGGAAGGUGUUAGGGUUAAUAACCUUAGCAAUUGACGUUAGCGACAGAAGAAGCACCGGCUAACUCCGUGCCAGCAGCCGCGGUAAUACGGAGGGUGCGAGCGUUAAUCGGAAUUACUGGGCGUAAAGGGCACGCAGGCGGUUAAUUAAGUUGGAUGUGAAAUCCCCGGGCUUAACCUGGGAAUGGCAUUCAAGACUGGUUAGCUAGAGUCUUGUAGAGGGGGUAGAAUUCCAUGUGUAGCGGUGAAAUGCGUAGAGAUGUGGAGGAAUACCGGGUGGCGAAGGCGGCCCCUGGGACAAAGACUGACGCUCAUGUGCGAAAGCGUGGGGAGCAAACAGGAUUAGAUACC